UACGAAGGGGGGCUAGCGUUGCUCGGAUUGACUGGGCGUAAAGGGCGCGUAGGCGGUUCGUACAGUCAGACGUGAAAUUCCUGGGCUCAACCUGGGGGCUGCGUUUGAUACGUGCGGACUUGAGUGCGGAAGAGGGUCGUGGAAUUCCAGGUGGAGUGGUGAAAUGCGUAGAGAUCUGGAAGAACACCAAAGGCGAAGGCAGCAUCCUGGGAAGUUCCUGACGCUCGGGUGCGAAAGCCAGGGGAGCGAACGGG
rnacentral:rRNA from 1 species